rnacentral:tRNA from 1 species
GGUUCUGUAGCUCAGCUGGAUAGAGCAUCCGCCUCCUAAGCGGGUGGCCGGCAGUUCGAUUCUGCCCAGGACCACCA